rfam:Halobacterium sp. NRC-1, complete genome.
GCCAAGGUGGCAGAGUUCGGCCUAACGCGGCGGCCUGCAGAGCCGCUCAUCGCCGGUUCAAAUCCGGCCCUUGGCU